AUACGUAGGUCCCGAACGUUGCGCGAAAUUACUGGGCGUAAAGGGUCCGUAGGCGGUCUGGUAAGCGGAAGGUGAAAGCCUGGGGCUCAACUCCAGAAUUGCCUUCCAAACUGCCGGACUUGAGGCAGGGAGAGGUCGGCGGAAUUCCCGGUGUAGUGGUGAAAUGCGUAGAUAUCGGGAGGAACACCAGUGGCGAAGGCGGCCGACUGGAACUGUCCUGACGCUGAGGGACGAAAGCCAGGGGAGCGAACCGGAUUAGAAACCCUAGUAGUCC
rnacentral:rRNA from 1 species